UUAAUAGUUUAACCUUUUUCUUAUUGGAUUUUCGUUUAGAGCUUAGACCAAUGGGUAUUUGUUUUGCUUCUAUUUCGAAUGGAAAAGCCAAACGGCAAUAAGCCUUUAUUAGUCACGGCAAUGUGAGUUGCAAAAUGUAUUGGGCAAGUUACAGUGAUCGCGAUUUCGGUCUUACCAGGGGCCUCAUCAGACUAUUAUGCCACUAAAAGAUUACAUGCUUCCACCUACUCACUAAUUAGUGAGCAGUGCAAUGGUAGAAACUAAGCAAAAGAAACGAAAGAGAAACAAAAACCAUAAACCCAUUGGUCUAAGCUGAACGAAAAUGCAAUAACAAAAUGAAAUAUUUUGUGAGCAAACGAACGAAUUGCAAAAACAGAAUUUUCUUUCAAUAAAAAAAGUAAAUAGAACCACCUGCACUCAUCAUAGAAUUUUGAGUUACAAUUUUAUAUUAUAAAGUUUUGUGUUUGGCUGCAUAAAAUUACCCAAGAAUUUUGUAAUGGUUGCAUUUCACUAAUAUUGAACUCCACUCAUUUGCAACCACUUCCAUAAUUUAUACCAUUUUCUGUUGUAAAAAACGGUAAUAUUUUAGAGCAUUACAAAUUGGAUGCACAUAAUUAUUUUACCACAUGUGUUGCAAUGAGCUUAAACCGAAAAACAAGCAUCCAAAUUGAAUGACGUUCUUUUCGUACCGAAAGUGUUGAGUGUUCACUAGAGCAUGACCACCAACCCCAAAAUGAAAAUAAACAAAACCAACUUAGCGGAUAAAAAAUUUCAAAUAAUUUAUAUGAAAACUGAAAACAAUAAAACUAACGAAAGAACAACGUUGUAUAAACUGAUUUAAAUGCACACCAUCUAUGUACAUUUAUUUGCUAUGGCUCGAAAUGGAAGAGGAAAAAAUUCAUUCAAAAAUAAAACCGUUUUUGAUAUCUAUUGGGUUGCCCAAAAAGUAAUUGCGGAUUUUUUAAAAGAAAGUAAAUGCAUUUUUAAUAAAACUUAGAAUGAACUUUAAUCAAAUAUACCUUUUUUCACCUUUUUUCUAAAGCAAGCUAAAAGUCACAGCUGAUAACUGACAGAAGAAAGAAUGCAAUUACGGAGUCACAAGCUGUGAAAAAAUUUGUCAACGCCGACUAUAUGAAAAAUCCGCAAUUACUUUUUGGGCAACCCAAUAUUUAAUUACACUGUGCAACAAUCUAUCAAUUGUGUGCAUAAAGCCUAACGAUGGAUUGACUUGUCUGAACCGGCUCAUAUUGAGCAACAAAGAAGUCGUACCACAAUGAUGUUGCACAGUGUGUCAUAUGAGAAAACACUAAAUUAACCGUAAAUUCUCCAUAGAGAUAAAGAAAUCAUGUAACGAUUGUUUAAUUGUUAACUGAAAUCGCAUAUUUUAAACUUUGGGUAGAAGUUAAAAUUGUUUGGAAAAUAAAAUAACGAUCCGUAGAACCAAUCCCUGCUGAUGGCAUAAAAUAUUAAAACAUAACGCCUUGUCAGAAUAAGAACUCGGCACCACCGAGUUAGACUAAAUAAGCGAACCAUACCAGUAUUGAAAUAAAAUAAACAAAAUGAAUAUUGGCUUAUAUACGCUAUUUUGGCAUCGUUUGGACCACCGUGACGAAGAGGUUAAAAUGUUCGCCUAUGACGCUAAACGCCUGGUUUUGAAUCAGCGUUGGUUAUCGCCUCCUAAUGCUGGAGGCGAAAAAAAGGAAAAGGGAGGGAAACGAAAAAAGGACCAUGAUUUGUGGAACUGCACCUGGAAUGUCUGCGCUCUCUACAGAGAAGUUGCAGUAUACGCGCUGGCGGAAGUAUUGGUGAAGUACAAGGCAGAUAUUACCGCCUUACAGGAAGUGCGAUGGACCGCGAAUGGCGUCACAACAACACCAAAUGGUGACGAACUAUACUGUAGCUGCCAUAACACAAGGCAUGAAUUUGGCUGUGGAUUUGUGUUUAGUCGGAGACUGAAACACCUUGCCUCAAGUCAUAACACAAGGCAUAAAUUUGGCUGUGGAUUUCUGGUUAGUCAGACACUGCAACUCCUUGUCUCAAGCUUUACUCUGGUGGAUGAGAGGCUUGCCACAAUCCGCAUAAAAGCCAAAAUCUUCAACAUCAGCCUUAUUUGUGCCCAUGCCCCGACGGAAGACAAGCACGAACAGACUAGGGAUAUUUUUUCUACAAGCGCCUAGAAAUGGAAUAUGAACGCUGUCCCGCCCAUUAUAUUAAAAUCGUUCUGGGUGAUUUUAAUGCGAAUAUAUAUUUGUCCCAACAGUUGAAAAAUUAAGCCUACACGAAUAAACUUGCGAUAAUGGAUUAAGGCUAGUAGCAGCAUCAGAUUUCAACAUCGAAGGAUUCACACUGCCACAUGGCGGUCACUCGAUCAAAACACGAGAAACCGAAUAGAUCGUGUUGUGAUAGAUGGAAGGCAUUCCACCAGCGUGUUAGAUGUAUUAUCCGAGGGGGGAACAUCGAUUCGAAUUAUUACCUUGUUGCAGCAUAGGUUCACACGCGUCGUAGUGUGGCGAGAAACGUACGAUCUGACACUGCACCUCAGCAUACUAUGUCCCGUACACAAAAAAGGAGACAAGACGGAAUGUACCAACUACAGAGAAAUAAGUCUCCUCCCCAUCGCAUAUAAGAUUUUUUCGUGCAUACUGUGUGAAAGAUAAAAACCUAAAGUCAAUGAGAUAAUUGGGCCCUAUUAAUGCGCCUUUAAACCUGGUAAAUCCACCCUGGGCCAGAUAUUCACACUGCGCAAAAUCCUGGAAAAGACCCGAGAAGAACAAAUCAACGCCUACCAUAUCUUUGUAGACUAUGAAUCCGCUUUCGAUACCCCUAUAAGUUUAAAGGUAUUUCAAGCUAUGUCUGCUCACACCAAAAUAUAAAUUUUUGUGUCAUAUUUGUGUUGUACUUUUAAAUACCUUUCAUUUGAUACCCAUAUUGCUCAAAGCGGUUAAAGUGUCUUGUUGGGUGGUGUUUUUGGGGGUGGGGGGGCCCUCCGACACAUAGGGUAACAUUUUAAUGCCGCAUUCGUAAUCUACUCUUAAAUACCUUUCAUUUGAUACCCAUAUUGUCCCAAUCGGUACACAUGUCCUUUCGGGUGGGUUUUGGGAUGGGGCGUCCCCCCAGGUUAUUUGACCCCAACAUUUUUUACCAAUUUCGUGUUUUUGGGGUACCAUAAGGUGGCAUACAAAAUUUCGCUUGAAUCGGUGCACCCAUUUCCGAGAUCUGGCAUUUUUGAAAAUUUUGGAUAAGGGGGAGGAUCCGCCCCCCCUUCGGAUAUCAAAAAAUGUAGUACCCUAUUUUCUCCGGGGGCUGAAAUUUUCAUGUAAAUCGGUUCAGCCGAUUUUGAGUCCAUACGGAACAGACAAACAAGCAAAACCCAACAAUUUCAUUUCUAUAUAAUAGAUUAUCUUAUUUUAAUAGUUUAUUUACCAUACAGAGAUUGUAUUGACUUGGAAAACGGCGCUGAAGACGGAAGAUAACAUAUGUGGAUCUAGAUUUCGUGGUAUUACAAUGACCCCGACAGUGAAGAGAGGCUCAUAUUGGAAACGACAAUUUUUCUUCUUUUUUUGAAGCCUGGGAUCAUUAAAUCAAAUGUGUUUUAUUAAGCAAUACAUUUCAUGUUUUAUACACAAUCUUAUUCAAUGAAAUAAAAAGAUUUUCAUACAUGUGAAAAA